rnacentral:rRNA from 1 species
UACAGAGGUCUCGAGCGUUGUUCGGAUUCAUUGGGCGUAAAGGGCGCGUAGGCGGCGGGGUAAGUCUGGUGUGAAAUCUCGGAGCUCAACUCCGAAAUUGCACUGGAUACUGCUCUGCUAGAGGGCUGGAGAGGAGAUCGGAAUUCACGGUGUAGCAGUGAAAUGCGUAGAGAUCAUGAGGAAGACCAGUGGCGAAGGCGGGUCUCUGGACAGUUCCUGACACUGAGACACGAAGGCCAGGGGAGCAAACGGG